rnacentral:rRNA from 1 species
AUACGUAGGGGGCAAGCGUUAUCCGGGAUUUACUGGGGUGUAAAGGGAGCGUAGACGGUUCUGCAAGUCUGGAGUGAAAGCCCGGGGCUCAACCCCGGGACUGCUUUGGAAAUUGUGGAACUAGAGUGCAGGAGAGGUAAGUGGUAUUCCUAGUGUAGCGGUAGAAAUGCGUAGAUAUUAGGAGGAACACCAGUGGCGAAGGCGGCUUACUGGACUGUAACUGACGUUGAGGCUCGAAAGCGUGGGGAGC